rnacentral:SRP_RNA from 1 species
GCCAGGCGUGGUGGCUCACGCCUGUAAUCCCAACACUUUGGGAGGCUGAGGCGGGUGGAUCACCUGAGGUCAGGAGUUCAAGACCAGCCUGGCCAACAAGGUGAAAUCCCAUCUCUA